CCACCACCCCCACUGGCUGUAUACCAUCUGCCUCGGCUCCUGCCUCUGGACUCAGCUGCUUGCUUGGCCUGCCGUGCCCUGAUUCCACCCGAGGGCCAGAAGCAGUAACCAGCCCAAAUUGACUUUGUCCAAGCGCACACCCCUCAACCUCUACUGGCUGCAGGACCUCUACAGCUCGCCUACACUGUAGUACAAGCCUGGGCCAAUACUUCAUGGACCAUUCCAAGAGGAAGCAUUUCUGUGGUGAAGUUAUGGUUGAAGUUCUGGAGAGGGCCAACCAGGUGGUGGUACCUGUCUUACUCCAUCAUAAGCUGGGAUGUGCCUUUGGUGGGUCAGAAAAUGCUGCCGAAACAUCUACUAGCAUCUCAUGGAAGCUCCGUCCAUUUCCUGCCACAAGUGAAAGUGCAAGCAAGAGAAACUCUUCAAAAAGUGCCUCCUACAUGUUGCUGUGCCAGUAGCUGGGAGCACACUGAUCAAAAUGACAGCUCAAUAGAGUGCAUUGACAGGCUGUUCAAACUUCCUGUAAUGUGCUGGGUGGACAGGCAAGUUGUCCCACCGUGCAGCAUAGUGAAAAAGCUAGAGUGGGCACAUUUUGCUUGGGCUCUAGGGAAUCUGGAAUAUGGUUGGUCUGACUCAGGUCUGCAUGCUGCAGUGUGGAUGCAAGAGCCCCAGGCUUGAGUCCAGGUUAGAAAAUUCUUAACCUAGGGCUAACACUCAGUGUCGACACUCAAUCCCUAGGUUCUCAAACCCAGGGUCAGCUGACUCAAGUCCCACUAUGCUUGGGCUUACAUUGCAGUAUAGAUGUUCCCAGUGUUGCAGCUGCUAGCUGAGAUCCACUAGCUUGGACAGAAUUAGAUGUGGCAGCCCCCUUGGACCUUACAUCUCAGCAGCUGCAAUCAUCUCACAGUGGGAUGUUUUGAGCCUCACUGUGUGGUGCCCUUACUGAAUCCUCAGCCAUACUCCAGUUCCAUCCACUAGUGAUAUAUUUUAUAUUUUGCUUUCCCUAUAUCCCCUUGCAGUCCAUGUUCAGAACUGCUACGCAGAGCUGCUGAGAGCAGUUGAAUACCUGAACUGUUCCACCCCAGUGGCUGGUAAAAUUUAUAUAAUCCUGUGUGUAUAUAACAGUUAAAGUUUUUAAAGCACUUUGGGAGUCUUGAGCAUGGAAGACACUAUAGAAAUGUAAGAUAUUACUGUAAAACAUUUAUUUAAGACAUUAAAAGCCUACUACAUGCCUUUGUUAUAUUAUUAAAGGUCAUUUGAAAUAA